rnacentral:rRNA from 1 species
UACGAAGGAUCCAAGCGUUAUCCGGAUUUAUUGGGUUUAAAGGGUGCGUAGGCGGGCUGUUAAGUCAGUGGUGAAAUCCUGCAGCUUAACUGUAGAAUUGCCAUUGAUACUGACGGUCUUGAGUACAUCUGAGGUGGGCGGAAUGUGUCGUGUAGCGGUGAAAUGCUUAGAUAUGACACAGAACACCAAUUGCGAAGGCAGCUCACUAAACUAUAACUGACGCUGAGGCACGAAAGCGUGGGUAUCAAACAGG